AUACGUAGGGGGCAAGCGUUGUCCGGAUUCAUUGGGCGUAAAGAGCUCGUAGGCGGUUCAGUAAGUUGGGUGUGAAAGCUCCGGGCUCAACCCGGAGAGGCCACCCAAUACUGCUGUGACUAGAGUCCAGUAGAGGAGCGUGGAAUUCCUGGUGUAGCGGUGAAAUGCGUAGAUAUCGAGAGGAACGCCAAUGGCGAAGGCUAGUCCCUGGACAGAUCCUGACACUGAGGCACGAAAGCUAGGGGAGC
rnacentral:rRNA from 1 species